rnacentral:rRNA from 1 species
CCUUACCUACCCUUGACAUGGUCGGAAUCCUGAAGAGAUUCGGGAGUGCUCGAAAGAGAACCGGCGCACAGGUGCUGCAUGGCUGUCGUCAGCUCGUGUCGUGAGAUGUUGGGUUAAGUCCCGCAACGAGCGCAACCCUUGUCCUUAGUUGCUACGCAAGAGCACUCUAAGGAGACUGCCGGUGACAAACCGGAGGAAGGUGGGGAUGACGUCAAGUCCUCAUGGCCCUUAUGGGUAGGGCUUCACACGUCAUACAAUGGUCGGAACAGAGGGUUGCCAACCCGCGAGGGGGAGCUAAUCCCAGAAAACCGAUCGUAGUCCGGAUUGCACUCUGCAACUCGAGUGCAUGAAGCUGGAAUCGCUAGUAAUCGCG